UGUUGUCCAUACACGCCUUCAUUAAGACUGGAGAGACCACCCGACAGUUACCAUUGGUGUUUUGUGUAAUGUCGGGUAAAAGCCAAGACGACUAUUAUAAGUUUCCAUAUUAGAUGCCAUAGCAAAUCAAAGAUCAUAUAAUAAAAUAAGUCAAAAAACCCAAAUAUGGAAAAAGAAAGAGCUGAAGAAAUGGUGAUUUGAGCACCUAUGCUUUCUCAUAGGUGUUUUUGGAGGUUAACUACAUCAGAAAGAUCAAGACAGUUGGAAAUGGCUAUUCAUAUUAUGGAAACUUUUUCUC